CCCGCAGCCGCAGUACGACUCCAAAGCUACAACUACCUUUUUGAACUCCUCGCAAGUCACCCACCGGCCAAUACCGAGACCAACCUGAGAGGGAGAGGGAGAGGGAGAGAUGGUUGGGGGAGGAGGGGGAGGGGCGCUGCGGCGUGUGGGCAAGUACGAGGUGGGGCGGACCAUCGGGGAGGGGACGUUCGCCAAGGUCAAGUUCGCGCAGAACACGGAGACAGGGGAGAGCGUCGCCAUGAAGGUGCUCGAUCGCUCCUCCAUCCUCAAGCACAAGAUGGUGGAUCAGAUCAAGAGAGAGAUAUCCAUAAUGAAGCUCGUGAGGCAUCCCAAUGUGGUCAGAUUACAUGAGGUUUUGGCGAGCCGAAAGAAGAUAUUUAUAAUCUUGGAGUUCAUCACUGGUGGUGAACUAUUUGACAAAAUUAUUCGUCAUGGGAGACUCAGUGAAGCGGAUGCACGUAAAUACUUUCAGCAGCUUAUUGAUGGUGUUGAUUUUUGCCACAGCAAAGGAGUCUACCAUCGAGAUCUAAAGCCUGAAAAUCUUCUCCUUGAUUCCCAAGGAAAUCUUAAAAUUUCAGACUUUGGACUCAGUGCAUGGCCUGCACAGGGAGCUGCCCUUCUACGCACUACCUGUGGAACCCCAAACUAUGUUGCCCCAGAGGUUCUUAGUCAUAAAGGAUAUGAUGGAGCACUUGCUGAUACAUGGUCAUGUGGAGUUAUUCUAUAUGUCCUGUUGGCAGGUUAUCUUCCCUUCGAUGAAGUAGAUUUGACUACCCUUUAUGGGAAGAUUGAGACCGCAGAAUAUUCAUUCCCAGCUGUGUUUCCAAGUGGUGCUAAGUCACUGAUACGUAGAAUUCUGGAUCCUAGCCCAGAUACACGAAUCAGGAUAGAAGAGAUCAGAAAGGAUGAAUGGUUUAAGAAAGAUUAUGAACCUGUCAGGGAAGUAGAAAAUGAAGAAGUCAAUCUCGAUGAUGUUAAUGCAGCUUUUGAUGAUCCUGAGGAGGACAAUGAACAUACUUUUGACGAUGAAGCAGGCCCUUUGACGCUCAAUGCAUUCGAUCUAAUUAUUCUAUCUCAAGGGUUGAACCUUUCUGCCCUAUUUGAUCGCCGACAGGACUAUGGCAAGCUUCAAAAUAGAUUUUUAUCACGCAAACCAGCAAAUGUUAUAUUGUCAAGUAUGGAGGUUGUUGCUCAAUCCAUGGGGUUUAAGACACAUAUUCGCAAUUAUAAGAUGAGGGUGGAAGGUCCAAAUGCGAACAAGACUAGCCAUCUCACAAUUAUGCUUCAAAUUUUUGAAGUUGCCCCAUCAAUCUUUAUGGUGGAAUUAGAGAGAUCUGCUGGAGAUACUUCAGAUUAUAAUAAGUUCGUAAACAACUACUGCUCCAAAUUAGAUGAUAUCACCUGGAAAGUUUCUGCUGAGAAGGGAAAAUCUAGGACAUCCCGGCUAUCGAAGCGCUAAUUUAUGCACUUAUUACAAUUUAUCUGUGUGGGUUUGCUGCAGGUAUAAUGCGUAUUGCUGUUUUGUUUGGAUUACGUACAUCACGGGCUUGACUAAUGAGUGUACUAGUGCAGUUUAUCAUAAUUGAUCUAUGAUCUUUUAGUUAUAUACUACCCCGGACCUAAAACGUCUUAUAUUUGUUUACAGAGGGAGGGGGAGAUUGUGUUUAGUGCCAUGAUUGUAUACUACGACUAGUCGAGUCUGCUUGUACAAAGAGGUCCAUCUAGUAGUUCCGACAUGUCAGUUUUCAUGUACAGAAAUGUGUCAAACAAACUGUACUUCACUUGUCUCCGGGUUUGUUCGGGGAGUUGACAUAAUUGGUGUGACUUGUAUACUGCCAACAUUUGUUGCUUUCGUUCCAUUUCCACUCUUCAAUUUGGUAGCUUGCAUGACUCAUUAUCAACUGAUUAAGCAGCAUCACCUCAUUGGUGUUAUCGUGUG
rnacentral:rRNA from 1 species